UACAAAUACGGAUAGCGCGGUUUCUUUGACAAUAACCAUUCCCAAGACAUGCGCUUUAUCUUUUCAACCACCUCUUCGACAACAUAGGGAUUUUAAGCAAAAAUAACAUCGUUCCUUGCUUUUCAAAUUGCUCAGACCACCCUUGCCAAAUCAUCACAACUCCCUUUCGUCUUUUCUUGGCCACCUUGAAGGCCCCAAAGAAAGAGAGAAACAUUGCCCCGAUCGUAUCGGGCAAAAUCCCCAAAAGCCCAAACCAUUUAUAAAUCUUCACCCAAAUAUUCCAAGCAAAGGGGCAUAACAAGAAAAGGUGAUCCUCGUUUGGUCUCCAUUUAACCUCAUUUCCCUUCUAACCAAAUUAAUUAACUCUAGUUGGAAGGCUUUUAAGUAAAGCUUGCCAAGAAAACAUCACCACCUUUGAUGGAGCCCAACUAUCCCAAACCCCCUCCACCACCCGAGUGACGGACCUCAAGGAAGAAAAAGAGGAAGGAGCGAGUUUUUGACAUAAGUGUUGGUAAUUUGCCUUGAUCGAGUACUACCACCCCUAUCCAGACCAAACUCCCAAACAUCGUC
rnacentral:lncRNA from 1 species